UACGGAGGGGGCUAGCGUUGUUCGGAAUUACUGGGCGUAAAGCGCACGUAGGCGGCUUUGCAAGUUAGAGGUGAAAGCCCGGGGCUCAACUCCGGAAUUGCCUUUAAAACUGCAUCGCUAGAAUUGUGGAGAGGUAAGUGGAAUUCCGAGUGUAGAGGUGAAAUUCGUAGAUAUUCGGAAGAACACCAGUGGCGAAGGCGACAUACUGGUCCGUUACUGACGCUGAGGCUCGAAAGCGUGGGGAGCAAACAGG
rnacentral:rRNA from 1 species